rnacentral:rRNA from 1 species
ACGGAGGGUGCAAGCGUUAAUCGGAAUUACUGGGCGUAAAGCGCACGCAGGCGGUUUGUUAAGUUAGAUGUGAAAUCCCCGGGCUCAACCUGGGAACUGCAUUUGAUACUGGCAGGCUUGAGUCUGGUAGAGGGGGGUAGAAUUCCCGGUGUAGCGGUGAAAUGCGUAGAGAUCGGGAGGAAUACCAGUGGCGAAGGCGGCUCCCUGGACGAAUACUGACGCUGAGGUGCGAAAGCGUGGGGAGCAAACAG